rnacentral:rRNA from 1 species
CACGGUGUAGCGAUACACUGGUGGCGACCGGCGCACGGGUGAGUAACACGUGUGCAACCUGCCCAUCACUUGGGGAUAACCUUGCGAAAGUAAGACUAAUACCCAAUGAUAUCUCUAGAAGACAUCUGAAAGAGAUUAAAGAUUUAUCGCUUCAAGAUGGCCUCGCGUCUGAUUAGCUGGUUGGCGGGGUAACGGCCCACCAAGGCGACGAUCAGUAGGGGUUCUGAGAGGAAGGUCCCCACAUUGGAACUGAGACACGGUCCAAACUCC